GUCAUCACAGUUGCUCAAGAAUUAUCAGUUUGGUAUUUAUUCUGUUGACUUUCUAAUCUGUAAAUAUGCAUACGUCUGCAUUGAGAAGAACAUUUGGUGUCUUAAGCCAAACCAAACAAAUCAUUGCCCCUGCAUUGAGCACAUCAUUCUGUCGAUCCACUCAUCACAAUCAUUCUUCAGAUGAAGGUAAUCAAAGAGUGUUGAUUACAGGAAGUCUUGGACAGUUGGGCUCUGGUCUGGCUAAAGUAAUGAG